rnacentral:rRNA from 1 species
CUACAGAGGGUGCAAGCGUUAUUCGGAAUUACUGGGCGUAAAGCGCGCGUAGGCGGAUGAUUAAGUCAGUUGUGAAAGCCCUGGGCUCAACCUAGGAACUGCAUCUGAUACUGGUCGUCUAGAGUUUAAGAGAGGGAAGUGGAAUUCCAGGUGUAGCAGUGAAAUGCGUAGAUAUCUGGAGGAACAUCAGUGGCGAAGGCGACUUCCUGGCUUAAAACUGACGCUGAGGUGCGAAAGCGUGGGUAGCGAACGGGAUUAGAAACCCUUGUAGUCC